rnacentral:rRNA from 1 species
GAUGAACGCUGGCGGCGUGCCUAAUACAUGCAAGUCGAGCGAACAGACGAGGAGCUUGCUCCUUUGACGUUAGCGGCGGACGGGUGAGUAACACGUAGGUAACCUACCUAUAAGACUGGGAUAACUUCGGGAAACCGGAGCUAAUACCGGAUAAUAUUUCGAACCGCAUGGUUCGAUAGUGAAAGAUGGCUUUGCUAUCACUUAUAGAUGGACCUGCGCCGUAUUAGCUAGUUGGUAAGGUAACGGCUUACCAAGGCAACGAUACGUAGCCGACCUGAGAGGGUGAUCGGCCACACUGGAACUGAGACACGGUCCAGACUCCUACGGGAGGCAGCAGUAGGGAAUCUUCCGCAAUGGGCGAAAGCCUGACGGAGCAACGCCGCGUGAGUGAUGAAGGGCUUCGGAUCGUAAAACGCUGUUAUUAGGGAAGAACAAACGUGUAAGUAACUGUGCACGUCUUGACGGUACCUAAGCAGAAAGCCACGGCUAACUACGU